rnacentral:rRNA from 1 species
AUACGGAGGGGGUUAGCGUUGUUCGGAAUUACUGGGCGUAAAGCGUACGUAGGCGGAUCGGAAAGUAAGGGGUGAAAUCCCAGGGCUCAACCCUGGAACUGCCUCUUAAACUCCCGGUCUUGAGUUCGAGAGAGGUGAGUGGAAUUCCUAGUGUAGAGGUGAAAUUCGUAGAUAUUAGGAGGAACACCAGUGGCGAAGGCGGCUCACUGGCUCGAUACUGACGCUGAGGUACGAAAGUGUGGGGAGCAAACAGGAUUAGAUACCCCGGUAGUCC